rnacentral:piRNA from 1 species
AGGAAUGAAAAGAAUGUGGAAGGAAAGU